rnacentral:rRNA from 1 species
AGCGAACGCUGGCGGCAGGCCUAACACAUGCAAGUCGAACGAACCCUUCGGGGUUAGUGGCGGACGGGUGAGUAACACGUGGGAACGUGCCUUUAGGUUCGGAAUAACUCAGGGAAACUUGUGCUAAUACCGACUGUGCCCUUCGGGGGAAAGAUUUAUCGCCUUUAGAGCGGCCCGCGUCUGAUUAGCUAGUUGGUGAGGUAAUGGCUCACCAAGGCUACGAUCAGUAGCGGGUCUGAGAGGAUGACCAGCCACAUUGGGACUGAGACACGGCCCAAACUCCUACGGGAGGCAGCAGUGGGGAAUCUUGCGCAAUGGGCGAAAGCCUGACGCAGCCAUGCCGCGUGGAUGAUGAAGGUCUUAGGAUUGUAAAAUCCUUUCACCGGUGAAGAUAAUGACUGUAGCCGGAGAAGAAGCCCCGGCUAACUUCGUGCCAGCCGCCGCAGUAAGAC